GAUGAAGAACGCAGCGAAAUGCGAUAAGUAAUGUGAAUUGCAGAAUUCAGUGAAUCAUCGAAUCUUUGAACGCACAUUGCGCCCGCCAGUAUUCUGGCGGGCAUGCCUGUUCGAGCGUCAUUUCAACCAUCAAGCCCCCGGGCUUGUGUUGGGGACCUGCGGCUGCCGCAGGCCCUGAAAAGCAGUGGCGGGCUCGCUGUCACACCGAGCGUAGUAGAUUUUAUCUCGCUCUGGGCGUGCUGCGGGUUCCGGCCGUUAAACCACCCUUUUAACCCAAGGUUGACCUCGGAUCAGGUAGGACUACCCGCUGAACUUAAGCAUAUCAAUAAGCGGAGGA
rnacentral:misc_RNA from 1 species